rnacentral:sRNA from 12 species
UGCUGUCGGAUAAUCGGAUCCGACAAAGAGCCAAUUGGGGCUAGUCAC